rnacentral:rRNA from 1 species
ACCUGCUCUAUGAUAAUAUAUAUUAAAUGGCCGCGAUAUUUUGAUCGUGCAAAGGUAGCAUAAUCAUUAGUUUUUUAAUUAAGAACUGGAAUGAAAGGUUGAACGAGAAAAAAGCUGUCUCUAUUUAAUUUUUUUAGAAUUUUAUUUUUAAGUAAAAAAGCUUAAAUAAUUUUAAAAGACGAGAAGACCCUAUAGAGUUUAAUAUUUUUUUAUUUUUAGAAAAUAUUUAGUAUUUAAUUUUUUAUAAAUUAUUAAGUAUUUAGUUGGGGUGAUUAAAAAAUUUAAAAAACUUUUUUAAAAUUUAUACAUUAAUAUAUGAAUAAUUGAUCCAUAUUUUAUGAUUAUAAGAUUAAAUUA